CAAAGAUUUAUCGCCAAGGGAUGAGCCCGCGUAAGAUUAGGUAGUUGGUGGGGUAAAGGCCCACCAAGCCUGCGAUCCUGUAGCUGGUCUGAGAGGACGACCAGCCACACUGGGACUGAGACACGGCCCAGACUCCUACGGGAGGCAGCAGUGGGGAAUU
rnacentral:rRNA from 1 species